rnacentral:rRNA from 1 species
GACGAACGCUGGCGGCGUGCUUAACACGUGCAAGUCGAACGGAAAGGCCCUGCUUUUGUGGGGUGCUCGAGUGGCGAACGGGUGAGUAACACGUGAGUAACCUGCCCUUGACUUUGGGAUAACUUCAGGAAACUGGGGCUAAUACCGGAUAGGAGCUCCUGCUGCAUGGUGGGGGUUGGAAAGUUUCGGCGGUUGGGGAUGGACUCGCGGCUUAUCAGCUUGUUGGUGGGGUAGUGGCUUACCAAGGCUUUGACGGGUAGCCGGUCUGAGAGGGUGACCGGCCACAUUGGGACUGAGAUACGGCCCAGACUCCUACGGGAGGCAGCAGUGGGGAAUAUUGCACAAUGGGCGGAAGCCUGAUGCAGCAACGCCGCGUGCGGGAUGACGGCCUUCGGGUUGUAAACCGCUUUCGCCUGUGACGAAGCGUGAGUGACGGUAAUGGGUAAGGAAGCACCGGCUAACUACGUG